CCUCCCAAAUUAUUCUGAGGCAUCCCUCCCAUACUAUCUUGUGGCAUUCGCCCCAUAUUUGAUGGGCCUCCUCCCAUAUUUGAAGGACCUCCGCCCAUAUAUUGAGGGCCUCCAGGUCCUCCCAUAUUUUGUGGGCCUCCCAUGCCAGGUGGCCCUCCUCCCAUAUUUUGUGGGCCUCCCAUGCCAGGUGGCCCUCCCAUAUUUUGUGGGCCUCCUCUCCCUGGCGGCCCUCCUCCCAUAUUCUGUGGACCUCCCAUCCCAGGCGGCCCUCCCAUAUUCUGUGGGCCUCCCAUGCCAGGUGGCCCUCCUCCCAUAUUCUGUGGGCCUCCCAUGCCAGGUGGCCCUCCUCCCAUAUUCUGUGGACCUCCCAUUCCAGGUCCCAUGUUCUGUGGGCCUCCCACUCCUGGUGGCCCUCCCAUGUUAUUAGGACCAGGACCUUGCCUGUUCUGCUGCAUAUUUUCUCUUUUUCGUUCAAAGUUUCUUGAUCUAUCAAAGUUGCGAGGUCGGUCAUUGCGCCUAUUUCUC
rnacentral:lncRNA from 1 species